UCGUGCCAGCAGCCGCGGUAAUACGAAGGGGGCUAGCGUUGCUCGGAAUUACUGGGCGUAAAGGGAGCGUAGGCGGACAUUUAAGUCAGGGGUGAAAUCCCGGGGCUCAACCUCGGAAUUGCCUUUGAUACUGGGUGUCUUGAGUGUGAGAGAGGUAUGUGGAACUCCGAGUGUAGAGGUGAAAUUCGUAGAUAUUCGGAAGAACACCAGUGGCGAAGGCGACAUACUGGCUCAUUACUGACGCUGAGGCUCGAAAGCGUGGGGAGCAAACAGGAUUAGAUACCCUGGUAGUCCACGCUGUAAACGAUGAGUGCU
rnacentral:rRNA from 1 species